UAUGGCCAUAUCACAUUGAAUCAGUGGUUCCUCUAUGAUCACUGAAGUUAAGCAAUGAUGAGCCUGAUCAGUACCUACAUGGGUGACCACUUGGGAGUACCAGGUGCUGUAAG